rnacentral:lncRNA from 1 species
AUUGGAGACUGAUCUGUACUUAUUCAUGCAACAAGCAUCAUAAAAUACUGAUAAUCAUAACAGAUUACAUUUAGUAAUCACCUGUCAUACUGGGGACAGGGCUAAAAACACCUCUGUGUGUUAACUUAAUCCUCACAAAACUGAGAGGUCGAGGUGUUCUAUUGUCCUCACUUUAGAAAGAGAUGAAAUGACUUGAAAGGUCAAAUUAUACCAAUUGCGUUCUCAGUUAAGGCUGAAUUAAAUGAGAGAUAGUAGGAAACAAGAAGAAAUAAAUGAAAACAUCAGUGUUAUUACUGAUGACACCAGAAUGGAAGACGGAGCUUAGAUUUGUGCUAAACAACUGCUCUCCCCACCCUUAGGCCUCAGAUCAGCUCCCUUGUAGGCUAGUCUGAAUUUGUGGAGCAGCUGCAUUGACCCAGGCUGCUGCCUGCCACUGGUCUCUCAGGGCUUUGGUCCUGUAUCUUUGGUUCUAUAUGAUGGGUUCUGACAACUUUGAAAAGGUCUAUUGACUUUUGGUUGCAAAAGGUGAGUUGAUAAAGUGAGGCUGAAUUCCUCGGAGAGAGGCUCCAAAAUGAUCAUUUCAAGAGAAACUAGCCCUUGGCAGGCAGGGCUGGGCUGGGAGUCAGGGCACUGACAGCAACUGCCAGGUGUUCUGAGUGGACUUCAGGAGCAUCCAGGCGUGGAGGCUCCCCAUGCAGACCGGGCCUGCUGUCUGUGAAUCUGCAUUUUCUUCUUCUUUUUUUUUUUUUUUUUUUUUUUUUUUUGGGGGGCGGGUUUAAGGCUGCUCCUGCAGCAUAUGGAAGUUCCCAGCCCAGGGCUCCACAGUUUCGGGCCUACACCAUAGCCACAGCAACACCAGAUCCGAGCCCUGUCUGCAACCUACACCACAGUUCAUGGCAAUUCUGGAUCUGUAACCCACUGAGUGAGGCCAGGGAUCGAACCCUCUUCCUCAAGGACACUAGUCUGGUUCCUUACUGCUGGGCCACAAUGGGAACUCCCUGAAUCUGCAUUUUACCAUGACUCCCCAGGAGGCGUGCAUGCACAUCAAAGUUUGGGCAACACUGCUGGAGCCGUACCCAAGAGCUGCCUUGUACAUAAAGGAAAAGCUUGUUUUUCUCCUGGUUGCCCUCUGCUCUCGGGAAGCCCUGAUUAAUAUUCUCCUCCCUGCAGAGGUCUUCCUGCUCCAAAGGCUGCCACCCGGCACUUCCUUGGAUCAUUCAUUAUAUCAACAAUUUGCCUGUUAUUUGGGAGCAGGGAAAAAAGCCUUCUCAAAACAUGCCCUGAAGCUCAUGGGGCAUAUGUGAUAACUUACUCAAGCCAACCUGAUACUUAUUUCAUUUCCCUGCAUAGUCCACUCCAAAGAGUUUUUAAAAAGCAAUUUUCUGAAACCUUUGGAUAGGCCAUUUGUUUCGUUAUAAGACUUUCUUCCCAGAGGGAUUUGUGAUUAUAACUGGAGUGAGAAAACUCUGUUAUUAGACAUAAUAUUUGGUCCUAGAAACCUCUAGAGAGCUUGGGUGGAGGCGGGGGGGCGUGCUAGAAAGGACAGGGGAGCUUGGGGAGAACAAGGGCUCUUGCUGUAUCCAUGAUUCCCGUGUUUCCUUUUUGUCGGAGGCAGAAAAAUCCAAGGGAAAAUAAAGGUUCUGGAAGGUGCUGCUGCUUCUAGAACUGUGAUGUCCAAUAUGGACACUAGCUACGUAUAGCUGUUAAAGUAACCAUUUUCAUACAUUUAUAAACAAAGCUAAAAUUGUAGUUCCCGUCAUGGUGUGGCGGAAACGAUUCCGACUAGAAACCAUGAGGUUGCAGGGAUCUAACCCGCAACCUCAUAGUUGCUAGUCAGAUUCAUUAACCACUGAGCCCUCAGUCUGUCUCCUCUCUGCUUCUCUCUCUGUCUCUGUGUGUUUCUCUCUCCCUUCAUCUCUAGGCACCUCUGGUCCACAAACACCAGAUCCCCUGGUCCGUCCUCACCCCUGACACCCACACCAGCAGGAUGAGCCUCCACUCUGGAAGUGACCAGUUGGUGGUGGGAGGUGGGAAAAGGGAGGCGUUGGGGAGGAACUUCCUGGGAAGCAGGAUCAAGCUGUGUCCUCAGAGCCAGAAGUCCUGGGUUUGAGUCCUGCCUCUGUUAUUUUUAGGCUGUGUGACUUAGGGCAAAUUACUUGAUGUCUCUGAACUAACUUUUCUGUGUGAAAUGCAGCCAGGCCUUCUCUCCUGAAGGACUGUCUCCAGGUCAGGUUGGUGUGGUUGGUGAGCUGCCGAGCACCCACACCCGCAAAGCUUUUCUACCUCGCGUGCCCCCCUCACCCCCGUCCCCCAGUUCUGCCCUGGGUUCUUCAUGCCUUCUUGACUGGAGCUCACGGAGAAAACCUAGAGAGAGCUUCACAUCAGGUUCGGAGCCACAGCUUGGUCUGUGGGGGAGGAGGGGCUGGCAGGGGAGGCUGGGCGCCUGGUGGCUUGACUCAUAUGUCCUUGGCAUUGGUUUCCAUCUGAGUGAGUGGAUGUGCUGAUUAGUUGUACUUGGUGAACCAGAAGCACAACCAAAAUAUGUUGCUCUGUGGGAUUUAAAAAAAUUAACAGAGCCGUGUGGUGAUGAGUGUGGAAACACAUUUCAGUUUGAGUUUUCAACCAUUAACACGUAUGUUCUGAAAGCCAGUCUAGGAAAAUGUGCUUCUGUCAACUGUACAGUUAGCUGGGUAUUGUCUGCCCCACUUUGUGCCGAGGUGGGGGCCACGUGAGGGUGGCACCUGUUAUCCCCUGAAUGGGAAGAGCUCUGGAUUCGUGAGGCUCUGCCACGAAGGAGCUGUGUGACCUUGGGCAAGUUACCUGCCUUCUCUGAACUUGAGUCUCUCACCUUUAGAGUGGGAAACUCCUUUAAAGGGGGUCUUGUAAAGAUUAAAUGUUCGGUAUUCAGGACCUCGCCCUAUACACAACAGCCUCCCAGUCAAUGGGAGGUUUUACUAUCACUUCAUACGGUCAGGAACAGGAAACAGAACCAAACCACUGUUACUUUGGGGUUUUCUGUUACAGCUGAACUAAAUUCCGGCUAAUGCACUUGCUUUAUAAAUAAAUUCCCCACAUCUCUUAGGAAAGAAAUCCAAAGUUACAAGCCCCAAACUUCCUACACAUGGCCUAGCCUCUAAGCCUGUUUGUAUUUUCCCCCCCAAACUACCACUCAAUGAACAUUUUCAGCACUUUUACACAGUUUUCAAAGCCCAAAUAAAAAAAGCUAUGUGUGGAAAAAAA